ACAUAGAAGAUGUAAGAACUUCAGCUGUGGAGAUACCCAGAUGCUUUUCUAACUGAAAGAAUGCUAGCUAAUACUCCUUCCUUUUCAGAUAAUGGUAUUUUAUAGAAGACCCAAGACUACCUAUGAAUGACAUUAAGAUAUCAGUUCUGAAAAACAGUCUCUAAUAGUCCAUAACCUGUGUAUGGAAAGUGAGUGAGAUCUCCCCAGCUCAGGAGUCCCCCUCUAGAACACUGCAGAGUACAUUGUUCUGCAUCCUUCCCCAGUAUGCAAUGCUCAAUUCUAUCUGCUGGCUCUUUUCCAUUUAAAAUCAUUUUGGUGGAUAUCAUCUACAGAUUUUAAAUUUUCACUGGCUUGUUGAUACUGAAAUAGUAGUUGUCUGCAGGGUUCUCCCUGUCUCUGGGAAAUCCCUCCUCACCCCCAAGAGUAACCGGUACUACAAUCUCAAUGUUAUUAUAAGCAAACCCUACCUAGGAAAACAGUACUAUUUACAACACUCUGAGUCACAACAUCCCAUUAAAAUUUUCUCACAGAAGGAGCUUGAGUGAAAGAUUCACUACUAAUGAAGAGAAACAUUUUUUUCCACCUAGUCAAUCAGCCAUUUACUUUUGCAAUACAUAUUUGUUGCCUGUCUCCUCUUAUUGAAGGGCUAGGCCCUAUGAGAAGAGAAAGCCCAAGAGCCAAUUCUCUCCUUCAGUUAUUCUUUUUUUUCCAAAUCAGUCCAGUAUUAGUGGGGAAAACUGACACGGAGCCAUAUAGCUCUGGGAGCAAAAUGAGAUCAUGGAUGGAGUUGGAUAAUGAAUGGGCCUUCCUGGCUCUAGCUUAUAUGCCAGCUCAAGUAGCCUAUGAUGUCAUCUUUCCAGUCCCCGUCAGGUCUUACACUGGAGAAAGUGAUUGACAGACUGAGGUGAGUGGUAAGAAAUAACCACAAUAUCCAUUGAGAGGCAAAGACAAGAAGAUGAGAAAGAAGGUAUUAUCUGCUAUACCGAGUAGGAAUCAGUAUUUCCAGCUUGGAUUUACAGAGUCGUAAAUUUUAACAGAAUGCAGCUCUAGAUGGCAGUCUUGGUCACCUCAAUAAUGCCAUCAAACCACAAACCUAUCAGAGAAUUAAUACACAGUUUACAACAGAGCCCUCGGGACCAGAUCUAUCAACGGAGACCAAGCCUUAAGUCCAGGAGUCUUUCAGAGACACCUCCUACCCAAUUCAUAUCACAAGGUACAUACAAAGCCAUACAGUAAGUACUGUGUACUGAGCACUAUGGACUAAAUCUAUGCUGAAUCCAGUCCAGAAUGGAAGAAAGGAUAAUAAAUAUUUAUUGAAAUUUUCUUUUAUGCCAAGCACUAAAUCAAAUGUUUUAUAUGCAUUGUCUAAUUAAACCUCAUUAUUACCCAAUGAAGACCACAUUGUUAUCCUGGUUUUAUGCCUAAGUAUAUUAUCCUUCCUAAGAUUAUAGUACCUCUUUGAGAACAUUCUCACUAAUUACUUCAUCGAAUGCAAAUGCCCUUUUUGCUAUCUUGUCUCUUUAUCUAUGUCUUUCGUAAUCCUUCUCGCAUUUUUUUUUGUUUAUUUAUUGGAAUCUUUCUGUGUCUCUCUCACUUGUGUACUAUGCUCCAUGUGGCUGGGGGGGGGGACUGUGUGUAUCUUUUGUUUUGAUGCCUUAGUGGAGUCCCUAGACACAAAGUAGGGCCUAAAUGCUGGUUGGAUGAAUGAACAAGUCAGUGAAUUAGUAAAACUGAGCUGAAGAAGUUAAGUGACUUGUCCCAAGGUCAUAGAGCUAACGUCUGACAGAACUGACACAGGACAUGCCAUUGCCACUAGCUCACGCCAAGCACUAAGAACUCUUCCAAAGAUGAGUGAAUACCACAUGGGGCUCAAGGUAUAGACAUAGAUGCCUAUGCAGAGGAUUCAAAAACUGUGCCCCGAGAGGAAAGUCCUGUCCUCAGAUGCCAUCUAGAGCUACGUUCUGUGAAAAUUUAUGACCCUGUAAAUCCAAACUGGAAUUAUUGAGAUUCCUACUAGCUAUAGCAGAUAAUACUUUCUUACUCAUCUUCUGGCUGUGUAUGUGCCUUGUGAUAUGAAUGGGGUAGGAGGUAUCCCUGAAAGGCUCAUGUAUUUAAGGCUUGGUCUCCAGUUGAUGGAUCUGGUCUUGGUUGGGGAUUGGCUCACAAGGUUUCUGUUGUAAACUGUGUAUUAAUUCACUGCUAGGUUCAUGGCACGAUGGCACCGAGAUGACUGAGACUUAGAGGUAGAGCCUCCACAGAGGAAGUAGGUCACUGAAACAGGUCUGGGGACUGUACUUUGCCCUGGACUCCUUUCUGUCUGUGUCUGAAUCCUAUUUCCCAGGAACCUAACUGCUUCACUCUGCUUCCAGCAUGAUAGUCUGUAUCAGGUCCACAGCAACGGAGCAUGCUGACCAUGUAACCAAAACCUCUAAUACCAGAAGCCCAAACAAAUCCCGUCUCCUUCAAGUUGUUUCUUGCAGUUAUACAUUACAGUGACGAGUGCUAACACAGCAUAGUAGGGCUUCAGUAAACACAUGAUGCUGAUGGGUUACGACAAGACUGCGGCUGCCUGGUACCCCUCCCAUCUCAUCUCUAUUCACUCUCCGGCAGCACUGGGGGAGCUCAAAUUGCCCUCUUGGGCACAAACAUGUAAUAGCAAGUUAUACAUCACCCUCUGGACCCCAGAGUGAGUCCCCAUAGGAUAAUAUUGUUCCAGGCAGAAAUCAAGGGAAACUUGGUGCUGAUUUGUGCUGCAGUUGCUCGCAGUAUAAACAGAAACUCAGGGCUGGCCAGUCAGCACUUCUUUCCAGGCUCAGGGAAAAAUGCAGUUUCUUUUUUAAAAAGGAAGAUGAAAGAAGGGCAUUUUCAGCGCGAGCUGCAGCUCUUUAUAACACAAACUGCUCAGCCCAGGGGAACCGAAACAGACGAAGUGUAUGCAAAGUCAGAUAAUGAAUGGGGGCUUGGGCAAAAAAGAGAUGAUAAAAGCAAUUGCCUGCUUCUAUUUUUCCAUCCACAGUGAUAUUUGCUUGGCUCGAUCAGUUGCCUCAGUCACAGUGGCACCAAGCAUUUCCUGGAGAAGGUCUCAGCACCUCUGCAACCCCACAGUGGGUAUAAUAAAAUUUAUUACGUUUAAUUGAUUUGUAAAAUAAAAUGUCUAUUAAAGGUAAUUGUUGGGAACUCUAGGACCAUAUUUUAAAUUUACUUAUUAUGCACAGAGAGUAUAAGGCAGCACGUUUUCUGGCACACUGUAAAGUUCAGACAUACCCUGUCUAUUACUGCUGACACCAUGUUGGGCACACUGUUGAUAAGUAGAAGAAACACAGACUACGUGGAAAUGGUCCAGUUCUUGGCUGUCCCUUGCAGGUAUAGGCCAGUCAUUUGUACUGUUGGUCUCCCUGACAUCUGAGCCAUCAAAGAGUCACCGGCCUAUGUGAGCUAGCGAACCCUUGGUGCUCAAGGGCUGGAGUAUCUGAAGUUCUGAGAUGGCUGUCAAUCUACUGCUCAGACAGCCUGCUCCGUAGUCCCUGCAGGCUGCCAGUAUCAUAAACGUCAGGAACAUCUGCAAUUCACCAGGCAUAAUCAAGAAGGUAUUCUCAGAUGGGGAGAUAGCUUAUUCAAUAAAGUGCCUAUCAUGUGAGCAAGAACACGUGCGCUCAGUCAUUCAGCACCAAGGAGAAAGUCAGGCAUUGUGACAUAGCCUCAGGGGUUACGAUAGAUGGAUCUCUGAAGCUCAUUGGCUAGCCAGCCUAACCAAUCAGCCAGCUCCAGGUUCUAUGAACGCUCUCUCUCAAAAAAAUAAGAGAGAAGCUAUGGGGACAGACACUCUAUGAUGACCUCUGGUCACACAUGCACUAAAACACAAAUGUACACACUCAUCACUUGUGCACACACCCACAUGAAGUUGCACACUUAGAAAAAGGAAGUGUUCCUUUUUAUCCAUGCCACGAGUUGACUGCAGAGCCCACUGCUGCCCGUGUCGGUAGUCUCCAGAGACGCUGUACUAGCACAAGUCUAGUCUGGAACGAGAAGGUGGGAAAUUGGGAAAGCCAGGAGGUCAGGUAGGACUCCCACAAGGAGAUUCCAACAUUUCCCUCUGUCAAAGAAAAUAUAGAAGAAGAGCUCCUGGAUUCCUUAAAGGUCCUUGCCAAGAACAAAAGGUGCUACAAGGAGAAGGGGAUCCCCUGAAGGGGCAAUUUCUCUUUUAUAAUUUGUCCAGAGACAACUACAAGAAAGUGACUCAUGACACCGUGGACAAGCUGACACUUUGGGUGUUUUCCAAGCCCUCUGUGUCAUCUGCAGGAGAUUGCAGCUACCCCAGGAAGGAAACAGAACAUUAACUAUGGUAGUGGGGACAGACAGAAUCCUCUCUCCAUCCAUCUGGAUUCCGAGAACAACUUCUGGUGGUCUGUCUUGAAGAUCCUGGCCUACAUUUGCUUUCAGUGAUAAGGGUUUACUUAUUUCCACCCUGCUUCCAACUUCAGAGCUCCCUGACCCCGUGGUAGGACUGGUAUGAGAGAGAUAGCAAAGACCUGUUAAGGCAGGCAAGUGUUUUCAGUCUCCAAAAGCUUUACCCUUCAGUAAGAAACUACUGCAGAAUUUACAGAUAGAGCACCAUUAAAUAAAUCACUGGAAAGUCUAAACACAUUUGGAUCCACAGUGUUAAAGGAAAGGCAGAAUUUCUCACUCAUCUUCUCUGUAGAAAAUAUUACAAAAUCAUUGCUGUGUAAAAGAAUCAAUCAAGGAUUCUUAAGGCAGAAAUGUAGGGAAAUGAAUGUCAUAGAAAUGUUUUGAGCAAUUAUUAAAAAAUUUAAAAAAUGUU